ACACACACACACUUGAACGGAGGCGACGAGAAGUGAUCGGCGUUGGCGACAGUGGUGGCUACUAGCUAGCGACGAUCGGCGAUCGACGACAAUGGCGGCGAGCGAUCAAAGCAUCAAUUAGGAGGUUGUUGUAUGUUUGAAAUGGCUGCACACCAACCUGCAUUUUGAGCUCCUGAACAGGGGACAUGCCGCCUCGAAGGUCUUAGCUUGGGAGGUUUGGGAGUUGAAGACUCUCUUUUUGGAUAUUUUGUUUUGUAUUAAAUGUAAAUCCAAGCCGAGAGUUUUUUAUGUAUAGAGUUAAAACUCUUCUUUUGUUGUAAUCAAGUGAUGACUUGGAAAGAUAUAAGCCCGUAGGGCACAUAUUUUAUUGUUUAAAAUAGAAUUACAUGCUAUAGUUUCAAGAUAAACAUUUAUGAAAGUGUAAUG